UUCUUCCUUGUCUUGGGGAGCAUAAUGUCCAGUGAGCGUUUAGUGAGGGCAUUGAUGCUGACAAACCCAUUAUAAGAGGAUCGCACACACGUGCCCUCUAAACCCCCGUCCGGUGGUUCGCUUUCAAACAGCUGAUCCGGCUGGUCGGAAUUUUUGAAGCA